rnacentral:lncRNA from 1 species
AGGUGCAGUGGUGAGAUGGGGGGCUUCGGAUCCCCGUGGAGGUCCUAACGGCGGGACGGGCGGUGCCGGAUCUGGGCCCUGCCGCAGGUGCGGCGGCUAGAUAGGCGAAGGGCGGCACUAGGUUUACGGGAGGGAGGAGGAGGCCAUGGCUGCGCUGAGUGGAGCCAUGCUGAGCGCUGAGGAUAAGGCCGGAUGAGUGGGGGAUUUUGGCCAUGCUGAGCGGGAGUCAUGGUGGGUUCCAUUUGUCGGUGACCGAGUGAGGGCGGGAGAGCUCCAAGGUGUAGGUGCCAAUUUUAGGUUCUGGACAGUGGGUCC